GACGAACGCUGGCGGCGUGCCUAAUACAUGCAAGUCGAGCGGACAGAAGGGAGCUUGCUCCCGGAAGUUAGCGGCGGACGGGUGAGUAACACGUGGGCAACCUACCCUGUAGAUCGGGAUAACAUCGAGAAAUCGGUGCCAAUACAGGAUAAUCAUUUGAAGUGCAUGCUUCGAAGGCAAACGAUGGUCCAGGCUAUCAUUACGGGAUGGGCCAGCGGCCCGUUAGCUUGUGGGUGAGGUAACGGCUCACCGAGGCGACGAUGGGUAGCUGUUCUGAGAGGACGAUCAGCCAAACUGGGACUGAGACACGGCCCAGACUCCUACGGGAGGCAGCAGUGGGGAAUCUUGCGCAAUGGGCGAAAGCCUGACGCAGCAACGCCGCGUGAGCGAAGAAGGCCUUCGGGUUGUAAAGCUCUGUCAGGAGGGACGAGGCCACUCGGGUGAAUAGCCCAGAGGGUGACGGUACCUCCAGAGGAAGCCCCGGCUAACUACGUGCCAGCCGCCGCCGUAACAC
rnacentral:rRNA from 1 species